CCUACGGGAGGCAGCAGUGAGGAAUAUUGGUCAAUGGGCGAAAGCCUGAACCAGCCAAGUAGCGUGCAGGAUGACGGCCCUACGGGUUGUAAACUGCUUUUAUACGGGAGUAACGCCCCUUACGUGUAGGGCUUUGCAUGUACCUUAUGAAUAAGGACCGGCUAAUUCCGUGCCAGCAGCCGCGGUAAUACGGAAGGUCCGGGCGUUAUCCGGAUUUAUUGGGUUUAAAGGGUGCGUAGGCGGCAUGUCAAGCGUGCGGUGAAAUGUCCGGGCUCAACCCCGGCCUGGCCGUGCGAACUGGCGUGCUUGAGUCCGCGGAAAGCAGGCGGAAUUCGUGGUGUAGCGGUGAAAUGCUUAGAUAUGACGCAGAACACCGAUUGCGAAGGCAGCUUGCUGCAGCGGAACUGACGCUGAUGCUCGAAAGCGCGGGUAUCGAACAGGAUUAGAUACCCCUGUAGUC
rnacentral:rRNA from 1 species